rnacentral:rRNA from 1 species
UACGUAGGGUGCGAUCGUUAAUCGGAAUUACUGGGCGUAAAGCGUGCGCAGGCGGUUUCGUAAGACAGAUGUGAAAUCCCCGGGCUUAACCUGGGAACUGCGUUUGUGACUGCGAGACUCGAGUGUGGCAGAGGGGGGUGGAAUUCCACGUGUAGCAGUGAAAUGCGUAGAGAUGUGGAGGAACACCGAUGGCGAAGGCAGCCCCCUGGGUUGACACUGACGCUCAUGCACGAAAGCGUGGGUAGAAAACAGG